rnacentral:rRNA from 1 species
UACGUAGAGCGCAAGCGUUAUCCGGAAUCAUUGGGCGUAAAGCGCGUGUAGGCGGUCCGGUAAGUCCGCUGUGAAAGUCGGGGGCUCAACCCUCGGAUGCCGGUGGAUACUGUCGGGCUUGAGUACGGAAGAGGCGAGUGGAAUUCCUGGUGUAGCGGUGAAAUGCGCAGAUAUCAGGAGGAACACCAAUUGCGAAGGCAGCUCGCUGGGACGUUACUGACGCUGAGACGCGAAAGCGUGGGGAGCAAACAGG